AACGAACGCUGGCGGCAGGCCUAACACAUGCAAGUCGAACGACAUAGUGGCAGACGGGUGAGUAACGCGUGGGAACGUACCCCAAGGUACGGAAUAGCUGUUGGAAACGACAGGUAAUACCGUAUGUGACCGUGAGGUGAAAGAUUUAUCGCCUUGGGAUCGGCCCGCGUUAGAUUAGCUUGUUGGUGAGGUAAUGGCUCACCAAGGCGACGAUCUAUAGCUGGUUUGAGAGAACGACCAGCCACACUGGGACUGAGACACGGCCCAGACUCCUACGGGAGGCAGCAGUGGGGAAUCUUGCACAAUGGGCGAAAGCCUGAUGCAGCCAUGCCGCGUGAAUGAUGAAGGCCUUAGGGUUGUAAAAUUCUUUCACCAGGGAAGAUAAUGACUGUACCUGGAGAAGAAGCCCCGGCUAACUUCGUGCCAGCCGCCGCGGUAA
rnacentral:rRNA from 1 species